AGAGUUUGAUCAUGGCUCAGGAUGAACGUUGGUAGCAUGCCUAACACAUGCAAGUCGAGCGGAAAGUAGCAAUAUUUUUAGCGGCGAACGGGUGAGUAAUACUUAUCUUACCUACCAUUCAGUGGGGGAUAACCAAAGGAAACUUUGGCUAAUACCGCAUAUUCUGGUUUCGAUCAGGAAAGGACUUCGGUUCGCUAAAUGAUGGGGAUAAGGCGUAUUAGUUAGUUGGUGGGGUAAAGGCCUACCAAGACGAAGAUGCGUAGCCAAACUGAGAGGUUGAAUGGCCACAGGGAAACUGAGACACGGUUCCCACUCCUACGGGAGGCAGCAGUGAGGAAUAUUCCGCAAUGGGCGAAAGCCUGACGGAGCAAUGCUACGUGAAGGAUGAAGGUCUACGGAUUGUAAACUUCUUUACUUGGAUGUACUCCUUAAAACUUGCAUCCGAGCAAAAAGUCACGACUAACUAUGUGCCAGCAGUCGCGGUAAGACAUAGGUGGCGAACGUUAUCCGGAAUUAUUGGGCGUAAAGGAUGCGUAGAUGGUAGAAUAAGUUGCUGGUCGAUGCCAAACUCAAUUUGACGGAAUCUGGCAAUACUGUUCUACUCGAGGGCAGGAGAGGUUGAUGGAAUUCUGUGUGGAGCGGUGAAAUGCGUUGAUCUACAGAGGAACACCAAAAAAGGCGAAGGCAGUCAACUAUUCUGUUCCUGACAUUGAGGCAUGAAAGCGUGGGGAGCAAACCGGAUUAGAUACCCUAGUAGUCC
rnacentral:rRNA from 1 species